CCCAUCUUAUAAAGUGUUCAACCCCACCAAAAUUUUGCUUCAAAAGUCUUUAACCCUAAUGCCAAACCCCUGUAAAAAGCUCACUCAGUGGUGCUGCUUGCCCCCCCCCCCUGAAAGGUUUCCACCCCUCCUUUAAAAAAAAUUAAAAAAUCCACCCUUUUUAAUUAUAAAAGUCAACCCUAUACUUGAUACACUGAACAUAGACA
rnacentral:lncRNA from 1 species